rnacentral:rRNA from 1 species
AACAAACGCUGGCGGCGUGCCUAAUACAUGCAAGUCGAACGGGGAAAGCUUUCGGGUGAGUACUAGUGGCGCACGGGUGAGUAACGCGUGGAUAAUCUGCCUUAGAGUGGGGGAUAACUAGUCGAAAGAUUAGCUAAUACCGGAUAAGACCACAGGAACCGAGGUUCUAGAGGUCAAAGGUUUUUCGCUCUAAGAUGAGUCCGCGUAAGAUUAGCUAGUUGGUGAGGUAACGGCUCACCAAGGCAACGAUCUUUAACUGGUCUGAGAGGAUGAUCAGUCACACUGGAACUGAGACACGGUCCAGACUCCUACGGGAGGCAGCAGUAGGGAAUAUUGCACAAUGGAGGAAACUCUGAUGCAACGACGCCGCGUGAGUGAUGAAGGCCUUCGGGUCGUAAAGCUCUGUCGCAGGGGAAUAACACAAUGAAUGUACCCUGUAAGAAAGGAUUGGCUAACUUCGUGCCAGCCGCCGCCGUAAAAC